AAAUAGUCUGCAACUUUUUUGUUUUAACCUUUAUUUAACCGGGUAGGCCAGUUGAGAACAAGUUCUCAUUUACAACUGCGACCUGGCCAAGAUAAAGCAAAGCAGUGCAACACAAACAACACAGUUACACAUAAACAAACUACGCAUGUGCGUGCGAAAAGCAACAUGUCAGUGCCCUUGAGCAUCAAAAUAUUAUAAUAAAAACAACGCUCUGUCUUUGGUGAUGUUUAUCUUGCUAGAACAUCCAGAUAUAAAUGUGAAUGGAAAAUAGUCGUUAUGGUCGACACAACUGCAGCUACGUACUAUCCAAAAAGCUUCAGAACGUCAUACCACUUCAAUUAGCUGUCGUUGUGUAGCGUUAACAGCUAGCAUGAUAAAAUGCAAAACAAAUCAACAAAUGAUAGCAAUAUGUUUCCAAUGUUGAAUUGAGCCUUUAAUGCAAACCAUUGUUUAGUGUGGCUUUUACACAAGCUGUCAAAAUGCACAUAGAGAACGUGUAUGGCCGAUCCUUGAUGUCCUCUUACCAGAGGUAGUCUACUGUCAUGUUUCAAAGAGAUUACCGAGCAGUAGAUGCCGAAAUCCGUCCCCAAAGCUUUGCCCAAAUAGUAGAGUUAUGCAUGCAACUCAGCCGUUGAUGAUUACGAAGUUACUGUCUGUGGACGACAUCUUUGCUAGAAGAUCACUACAGGACUACUUGAAGAAGAUGUAGACAGAGUACUGUGAUAGUCUGACAGACAAAGAGACAGCAGGAUGGUGAAGAGGAAUUGAGAGUGAAGAGAACAUCUCCUUCUGUACUAGCCCUAGUGAUCCAAUACUUCAGAGAGCUUCAGACAAAACAGCAGAAAUUUGGUGAAACUGAAACAUUACUGAAAGGCUAUAUAGGCUAUUCAUCAAAGUAGCCUAUUUUGCAUUGAUAACCAAAUAAUCUCAGCGACUGUUCAAGCAUACCAUCGUCAAGAAUCCACCCAAAAAGGUGUGAUCUCAGAAUGCCAGGAGGAAAGGUCCCAACUGAAAAAUAAAAAAAGGCCAUGAAGGUUCUACAUACCAAACUCUAUAGUAUGAGGCUGGAAGAAGAGACCAGUAAGCGAUAUACUGCACGGAAAGUCCAGGUAGAUCUGAGAAAAUCAGGAACGACAACUUUCCCCAGGAACCGAAUCACAGAUCAUUGGAUUGGAAAAACGGUGCAUGAUGUCCGAGAGCUCCUUGAGGAAAUUAAUCUGGCACUACAGGAGCUCCCUAAGCAGGAGAGUCAUUGACAUUCUUGGAGAAAAUGACUCUGAUCAAUAAUAGCCCAGUGUAUUUGUUUGCCCAACUCACAUACUUAGAGCCCACUUAACACAUUCCGCUCACGAGUGUGAAAUUCCAGUCCACAAACUGCUUUUGUUGCUCAUUUUGCAGUAAAACUUCAAAAUAUGUCAGUAUAGAACUUUUCUCAAAUCCUUUCAUUUGAGAACCGAAAGUCUUGCCCAAGAAAUUACAUUUGUGUGUGACAUGACAGGUACAGUAGAUUCGGAAAGAAUUCAGACCCCUUGACUUUUUCCACAUUUUGUUACCUAACAGCCUUAAAAUAAAAUGGAUGAAAUAAUUUUUCCCCCUCAUUAAUCUAACCACAAAACCCCAAGCGAAAACAGGUUUUUAGACAUUUUUGCAACUUUAUUAAAAAUAAAAAACAAAUACCUUAUCUACAUAAGCAUUCAGACCCCUUGCUAUUAGACUCGAAAUUGAGUUCAGGUGCAUCCUGUUUCCAUUGACCAUCCUUGAGCUUUUUCUACAACUUGAUUGGAGUCCACCCGUGGUAAAAUCAAUUGAUUGGACAUAAUUUGGAAAGGCACACACCUGUCUAUAUAACGUCCCACAGUUGAAAGUGCAUGUCAGAGCAAAAACCAAGCCAUGAGGUCGAAGUAAAUGUCCGUAGAGCUCCAAAGCAGGAUUGUGUCGAGGGACAGAUCUGGGGAAGGGUACCAAAAAAUGUCUUCAGGGUACCAAAAAAGGUCCCCAAGAACACAGUGGUCUCCAUCAUUCUUAAUGGAAGAAGUUUGGAACCACCAAGACUCUUCCUAGAUCUGGCAGCCUGGCCGAACUGAGCAAUCGGGGAAGAAGGGCCUUGGCAGGUAGGUGACCAAGAACUUGAUGGACACUCAGACAGAGCUCCAGAGUUCCUCUGUGGAGAUGGGAGAACUUUCCAGAAGGACAACCAUUUCUGCCGCACUCUACCAAUCAGGCCAGACGGAAGCCAGACGGAAGCUACUCCUCAGUAAAAGGCACAUUACAGCCUGUUUGGACCUUGACAAAAGGCGCCUAAAAGACUCUCAGACCAUGAGAAACAAGAUUCUCUGGUGUGAUGAAACCAAGAUUGAACUUUUUGGCCUGAAUGCCAAGCGGCACUUCUGGAGGAAACCUGGCACCAUCCCUACGGUGUAGCAUGGUGGUGGCACUGGGAGACUAGAGA
rnacentral:lncRNA from 1 species